rnacentral:rRNA from 1 species
CGGUGUUUAACUGGCGUGAUGUGGGACGUCCUACCGGUGGGCUUAGCCUCGCGAGGGGCGGCCCAACUAAUAUCCCGUCGCGGUGCUCUUUACUGAGUGUCGAGUCGGGCCGGUACGUUUACUUUGAACAAAUUAGAGUGCUUAAAGCAGGCUAUCCUCGCCUGAAUACUGCGUGCAUGGAAUAAUGGAAUAGGACCUCGGUUCUAUUUUGUUGGUUUUCGGAACCCCGAGGUAAUGAUUAAUAGGGACAGAUGGGGGCAUUCGUAUUGCGACGUUAGAGGUGUAAUUCUUGGAUCGUCGCAAGACGGACAGAAGCGAAAGCAUUUGCCAAAAAUGUUUUCAUUAAUCAAGAACGAAAGUUAGAGGUUCGAAGGCGAUCAGAUACCGCCCUAGUUCUAACCAUAAACGAUGCCAGCUAGCGAUCCGCCGAAGUUCCUCCGAUGACUCGGCGGGCAGCUUCCGGGAAACCAAAGCUUUUGGGUUCCGGGGGAAGUAUGGUUGCAAAGCUGAAACUUAAAGGAAUUGACGGAAGGGCACCACCAGGAAUGGAGCCUGCGGCUUAAUUUGACUCAACACGGGAAACCUCACCAGGCCCAGACACCGGAAGGAUUGACAGAUUGAUAGCUCUUUCUUGAUUCGGUGGGUGGUGGUGCAUGGCCGUUCUUAGUUGGUGGAGCGAUUUGUCUGGUUAAUUCCGAUAACGAACGAGACUCUAGCCUGCUAAAUAGGCGUACCUUAUGGUAUCGCGAAGGCCCCCGGCUUCGGCCGGUGGGUUUUUACUACCAACGUACAAACAAAUCUUCUUAGAGGGACAGGCGG